GAGUGUAAACUCCUUUUGUUAGGAAAGAGAUUAUGACGGUACUCUUAUAGGAAUAAGCACCGGCUAACUCCGUGCCAGCAGCCGCGGUAAUACGGAGGGUGCAAGCGUUACUCGGAAUCACUGGGCGUAAAGGACGCGUAGGCGGAUUAUCAAGUCUCUUGUGAAACCUC
rnacentral:rRNA from 1 species